rnacentral:lncRNA from 10 species
UGUGUGCUGGUUGUAUGAAGUGCUGUGUUGUUGUGGGUUGUGUGCCGGUUGUAUGAGGUGCUGUGUUCUUCCUGUUGUGUGUUGUGUGCUGGUUGUAUGAGGUGCUGUGUUGUUGUUGUAGGUUGUGUGCCGGUUGUAUGAGGUGCUGUGUCGUUGCUGUGGGUUGUGUGCUGGUUGUAUGAGGUGCUGUGUUCUUCCUGUUGUGGGUUGUGUGCUGGUUGUAUGAGGUGCUGUGUCGUUGUUUUGGGUUGUGUGCUGGUUGUAUGAGGUGCUGUGUUGUUGCUGUGGGUUGUGUGCUGGUUGUAUGAGGUGCUGUGUCAUUGUUGUUGAUUGUGUGUUGGUUGUAUGAGGUGCUGUGUUGCUCUGGAGAGACGUCAACUAUGGCACCCUUUGUGUGGAGGGACUGAAGGCCCUGCUGGGUGGUUGGGAGCUCCAGGUUGGAAAACAAGCUGUGUGGGGACGAGUUUACCAAUUGGUAUAUGGCUGUGUACCAGUCCUACGUGGCCUAGAGCGGUGGUUCUAGGAGUGUAGUUCUCAGGCCAGCAGCAUAGCGUCACCUGGACACUCUUAGAAAUGCACAUUAUCAGGUCCCACCCCAGACCUCCCGAAUCAGACACUCUCGUGGUGGGGCCUGGCAACCUGGAGGUAACAAGCCCUCCUGGUGACUCUGAGGCAUAAAGUGUGAGGAGCACUCCCCUGGGGAUGCCUGUUUGGCAUUCUGUGUUUGGCGUGUCUUUGCGCAAGCAGGCAGGGUCUGGUCUCAGAGCGGCCUUGCUGGGAAGCAGACAUGCUGGGCCUCCAGUGCAGCGUUUCUUCUGUCACCCACUCAGCCUUACAGCCUACCCAGCGCAUGCGCCCACAGCACUUAGGUGCGAAGGAAUGCUGCACGUUUCCCCCAUUCCCUGUGCCUUCCACACUGCUGACUCCACCCACACUACCUUAGCAACACGGUAGAGUUUUGCAUAUUCUUUGAAAAUGUGCCCAGUUGCAUGUGAAUAUGAGCAUGCCAACUUGCAUGAUGUGUCUGUUUUGCCUUCUCUGUUAGACAAGGUGCUCCUCCAUCAGAAUCUCGCCUCUGGCUGCCGCAGUACUCAGUAUACAAACACCUGAUCCAAGCACCAGACUCACUCUAACCCUGGCCACACAACCUGCCCCAGGCCGACGUUCCCAAGCUCAUUUGUGGCCCCCAUGACCUUGUGGUAACCUUGAUGUGCCUACCCAGCACCUGCAGCCCAUUUCCUCCCUGCAGGACUCUACCUGUUUCCUAACGAGAGGGGAGCUGUGCGUGGGUGCAGGCUGCCGGCAAUGACAGCCUUUACCACCCCACUUCCUGUGUUGACUUGUAAUGGGGUGUUGGGUCCCUGCUGUCUGAGUGAGCUGUGAACAUUCAUGCUACUUCCCAUUACUGUCUGAAGCUUGGUUUCCACAUCUGCAGUGUGGUAAUAAAAAUACCCAACACUUUGCC